UCACUUCCUCUACUCAAGUGACCCCACCCUUUUUCUGAGAUCAGAAUUCAUUUUUCUUUCUUUCUCAGGAGCAGGUUCAUCAUAGCCUAGUGAGAAUGUUACUAUUGCAAGUUUAUCUUGUUGCUUCAGUAGUUUGGUCUCAUGGAGAGGCCCAAGUACUGGUACAAUCUCAACUAUCCAUCAUGAGGGCAGAAAAUAAAACUGCACGAAUUGACUGUCAUGUUUCUGGCAUAACCCUUAGUAGUGCUUAUAUACACUGGUAUCGACAGAGAUCUGAUGCAGCUCUGGAACGGAUUCUCUAUUUUUCAUCAGGAAAACCGGUCUUUGACCAGGAUUCUGAGAAGGGAAAGUUUGAGGUAGAGAAGCAGCUCUCCAACUCGAUCUGUGUCCUGACAGUAAAGAAAAUAAGCAAGAGUGAUGCAACUACCUAUUACUGUGCCGCUUGGGAUCACACAGUAUUACAAAAGCAUUCACAUUCUGUACAAAAACCUACUUUGUAUUCUCAGCAACACAUUUUCAAGUACAAGAAACCACAGAUACCUCCUAAUCCUGUUUUUCAUGAUGAACUAGAUGCAAAAAAAACCUUACUGGUUUCUGUAACAAGAGAUAAAAGCAAGAGAGCUGUUGCUCGCACAUGUUUUGCAAACAGUAAGAUCCCACCUGUCUGCCAAACAACGAGAUCAAGUAGUUGCACAGGGCAGCAAAAUUUUCAGUUGGUUUCUAGGGGUGACUAAGGUUUGACACAGAUGCACAUUUAUCAGUUUGCAUAAGAGAGCUGACAUGACAUGACAAUUGAAUCUUUGUGCAGUUAGUUACUCAAGUGCACUGGAAACUAAACUGCCAAUGUAAACUAUGUUGUAACACUGCUAGAGUAAAUAGCUUGAACCUUUUUCCUGUUUCAAAUUAGCAUUUUACCU